rnacentral:lncRNA from 1 species
UCUUUGAUUGAAUCAUUGGAUCAUCAAGUGACUAUCAGUAAGAUAUAUUGUUGAUAUCCCAAGUUCUUUCAUUGUGCAAAUUGGGAGGAUGUUGAUUCCAGAUCCUCCAUCGACUAGGAUUCUAUUCACCCUUUUCUCACGUGCAAAACCAACCAUGAUUAAAGGGUGAUUACUAAAUGUGUCACCAAACAAAAGAUCAUCG